GCGAGCGCUAGUGUGGUCUGCAGGCGCCGAGAUGUUGACGGGAAGCAUCUGAGCACGAGCAGAGGGAAAGGGAGGAGGAGGAGGAGGAGGGCCAUUUUGUGUCUGGAGCAGCUCUCUCCGCCGCAUCUCCACAGGAUUCUUCAAGGGCCUUAAAAAACAUUCUCAUCCCGUUUCUCUCUGCCUCUGGAGUCCUUCAAACCAACUAAACUAACCUUUAAACUCUUUAUCUUUCACUUCAGUAAUGAGAAUAGGAUUAGAAUAGGGUCUGUCUAUGUACCCCUAUGGGAUGAGAUGUACUGGGCAAGCCACAAAUAUGUACCGAAGUGUGGAUUACGGGCUUCACUGGGUCUUUCCCAGCCUUCUCUAUGGGGGAGCAGAACCUCUCCAGCUCCACCCAGAUGAGCUCAGACACACAGACAGACAGACAGUCUGACAGACAGACAGACAGCACACAGAGUGUAACGCAGAUAUUCCCUCUCUUUAUCUUGUCCUUCAUCUCUCUUCACAGGAGACCCAGCAUGGUCACUCUGGAUACUCGGUCCAAAAGCAUGAAGCCUGGCGUGGUUCCUCUCCUCCGCCACCUGUGCUGUCCUGUCAGCUGGAGCCCCCGUGAGUCUCGUCUACCUCCUGCCCCUCCUCUCCUCUCCUCGCUUGCUCACGCCGAGGUCACAGUCAGGUGGCCAUAGCUGAGCCUGCCCCAGACAGCAGCUCUGGGCUGCGUGGCGUGGCUGUUUGAGCAGAAUGCUGUAGAAAUAGCCAAGACGCCAGUCGUGUGUGUGUGUGUGUGUGUGUGUGUGUGUGUGUGUGUGUGUGUGUGUGUGUGUGUGUGUGUGUGUGUGUGUGUGUGUGUGUGUGUGUGUGUGUGUGGGGGGUAAAGGGUGGGGGUUGGAGUGUGUUGUGGCUUGGUCUCGUAUACACUGAUACACACACACACACACACACACACACACACACACACGCAUGCGCACUGAUGUGUUGCCCUGGGCUGCAGGGUGAAUGUCUUCCCAUGGUCCCUGUCUGUUGGGUCACAAGAUACCUAUUCCUUCAAUCUGUCUUCCAUCUAUAUACAUUACAUCUAUAGGGUACAAGCCAGCUGUAGGAGCCCAUGUAGAACUCAUUAUUGCUAACUGCUUGGACUAGAAGCUCUUUCUAAUAGGCCAUUUGAGAAAAGGUUCGAUAUAAGGGUCAGGGUCAUAGAAAUCUAGGAAUUUUAAAAUCCCCCUUUUCUAGUCCUGGAUAAGUCAUGAAAUCCAGUAAAGUCAAAACAAUUUGAUUUUGUCAUUUGUUGCACACUUCUCAUGGAGAAAGUUUUAUUGUGCAAAUGUGUUGAGUGUGAUACUUUCCACUUGAAUUGACAGUGCCUAACUAGCCUGUUGGCUAGAAUGGAAAAGGUUGUUUGUUUUCAGAGAUUCAAUAAUUGGGGCCAACCUGUGGAGUAAACUAUGGGACGUUUUGUACCUGCAGGUUGUGUGAGGUCAUGGAAAUGUUAACGAAAAGUCUUGAAAAAGUUUUGCAGUGUUGUCAGUGGAAAUGGGUGGUAACCGUGAAGGGCCCACACUGCUGACCUCUGCUCUGCUCCUCGUCAGCUGCAUGUUGUCACUUGACUGCGAUGUCCUGUCCACUUAAUGGGUAUGGGCUGCUUUCUGAGAACCCCGACACACACACACACACACACACACACAGCAC
ensembl:lncRNA